GACGAACGCUGGCGGCGUGCCUAAUACAUGCAAGUAGAACGCUGAAGGAGGAGCUUGCUCUUCUGGAUGAGUUGCGAACGGGUGAGUAACGCGUAGGUAACCUGCCUGGUAGCGGGGGAUAACUAUUGGAAACGAUAGCUAAUACCGCAUAAGAGUAGAUGUUGCAUGACAUUUGCUUAAAAGGUGCAAUUGCAUCACUACCAGAUGGCCCUGCGUUGUAUUAGCUAGUUGGUGGGGUAACGGCUCACCAAGGCGACGAUACAUAGCCGACCUGAGAGGGUGAUCGGCCACACUGGGACUGAGACACGGCCCAGACUCCUACGGGAGGCAGCAGUAGGGAAUCUUCGGCAAUGGACGGAAGUCUGACCGAGCAACGCCGCGUGAGUGAAGAAGGUUUUCGGAUCGUAAAGCUCUGUUGUAAGAGAAGAACGAGUGUGAGAGUGGAAAGUUCACACUGUGACGGUAGCUUACCAGAAAGGGACGGCUAACUACGUG
rnacentral:rRNA from 1 species